CAUGGCUUCUCUGCUACCACACCAUUGUGGCUGAUCCACCGUGCUGCCGCCAUAGCCUCUCCACCAACAUGCCAUCGCAGCGUUGAAAACACCUCUUUUUCUCUCUCCCCACCACCAUCUUACGGUACACGAUUAAAUGAAAUCAUGUAUCGUGAGUGCAACAGUAGAUCCGCUAAGAACGGUGGGGCGAGCAACUAGUCCGAUCUAGAAGGGUGUAAAAAUAAGGGUUUAUUUGUUUAUCAUUAUUUUAUUCAAACUGUAGAAUGGUAAAACUUGGAAGCAUAAGAGAGGAGAGAAUAGUUUAUUAUGUUCAGUGAGUAAAAUACAAGAGACCUCCACAUAUAUAUAGGGGAAACUAGGGCUACAAGACAAAUAAGGAAAAUUAGGGCUACAAGAUAAUAUAUAUAAAAAAAAAAACGUAAUAUACAAAAUACUAAACUAAAUAUUCUGUAACACUCUCCAUAAAGCUGGAGCAUAUAUAUCGAUCAUGUCCAGCUUGGUGCAAAGUUAGGAAAAUCAUUUUCCACCCAACGAUUUAGUGAAAAUAUCAGCAAUCUGGUUGGACGAAGAAGUGAAAGGAGUAACAAUAAUCUUACUCAAGACACACUCACGAAUAGAAAUAGACAGUUAACCUACAAUAUGUUUAGUCCUCUCAUGAAACACUGAUUGUUAGCAAUGUAGAUAAUUGUCUUGGUUAUCACAGUGCAUAGUAGAGCUGGCAAAAUGGGCGGGUCGGCCCGGCCCGGACCAGGGGGCUUUUGAGAUUGACUGGGCCGGAACGGAUUCGACCGGGCUGCUAAUUUUCAGGCCCAACCCAGCCUCGACCGGACUACCAGGCGAUCGGACCAAACCCGCCCAAUGAUUUUUUUUCACUAAAUCCUGUGUUUAUUUUUACACAAAAUUAAAUAAACUAAAAUCUCUGCCNGAAAAAGAUGGAAGAAGAUGAUUGUGGUGAAUGCAAAAAUGAUGGAAGAAGUAAUAUAAAGAAGAAGAGAAAAAAAAAAGAAAAAAAAAGGUAAACAGUCGAAUGAUCGAAAUUAAUUGGCACGUGCACCACACGCGCCUUACAUUUCACUUACAUUCCAUGCAUCGUGCCUUCCCGAAAAAUCAGGUCUCCCUCGAGUCCCCUUCGGCUGCAGUGGGGUACUCGAUCCCCAGCUUACUCGAGUAAGUGGGAUCGAGUAUCCCACUGUGGAUGCUCUAAAUUAGAAAAUGUAUCUACAAUAUUUUGUCACCGAUUAGUGCAAUUAGAGCAUCCACAACGAAGAGUUUGGAUACCGGUGUGUACCGGCCCCACUUAUUUAUAUGGGAAAUACUCUCUAAGAUAAGAUUUGCCCGAAAUCAACUAAGUUGACUCAAUUGACAUCCUUAGCUACAAAAUUAGAUCUCCUAUGCUGACAUUUGUAUGGUACGAAUUUCUAUUAAUAUAUAUGAGUGAUCUGCACUAUACAAAUGUCCGCACCACACACAACACCCCCUCUUAUAGUCUGCACAUGAGAAUAUAUGUUGCUAUAAUUAUCUAAUCAUUCAAUAUUUCAAUGUUUAAUUAAUUUCUUUCUUUUCCUAAGUAUUCCUUUCAAUCCAACUAUAUCUAUCUAUCAAUGAUGUAUCAAUAAUUACCUCAACCAUUCAAUUACAUCAUUUUAUAUAAAUAUUCAGAAUCAUAAUAUAUUGAUCGUAUAGAUGUAGAAAAAAUGAAAAAAAAAUGAGUAUGUGUAAGUAUGACAACAUCAUUCUCUAUUUAGUAUGAAUAAAAAAAGUUAAUGUUGGAGAGUUAGUGUAAAGCCCCAUUUUUCAUAAACUUUUCAAUAUAAAAUCCUUGAAAAACUAAUAGAUAAAAUAAAAUUUCUUGAAUUAUAAAAGUUUAAACCAAUUUAAAAUCAACUUGCCAAAACUAAAGUAGUAACAUGAAAUCAUAAAACUAUAAACUAAGAAAAAUAAUAAUAAUAACAAGUUCAACUCAAACUUCUAUAGAAUUACUAAAUCUCUAGUCAUUCUCGACUUCCAUGGCCGCCUCAACUCCAGAACUGCAAAACUGAAAAGAUAAGGGGUGAGCAUAUUGAAAAUAUACUCAGUGAGAAAUUAACCAUGCAAAUAUUCACGUACGCAUAAACAUACAAAUAAUUCACAUUGUCAUACACAUUCUAAAUUCUGAGUCUUUCUGAUCAUGUACUUGAACAUGACAUUCUGAGUUUCUGAUCAUGUACUUGAACAUGAUAUUCUGAAUUUCUGAUCAUGUACUUGAACAUGAUAUUCUGCGUUUCUGAUCAUGUACUUGAACAUGAUAUUCUGAGCAUGUAUCUAGACAUGUAUCUGAGCAAGCAUAAUCAAACAUGAACUAAAAGCACAUUCAAACAUACAUGAAUAUAACAACAAGCAUAUAAUCCCUCACCUUAAUAGUGAAGCUAAUAAAUCAAAAUUGGGAUGAGGGUCCUAGUUGCACCGCACCUAAUCACAUAAAAGUUAAAUAAUAGAAAAGAAUAAGGGCCUACAUAAAAUUUAAAUCUUAGAAAUUUAUUUUUGUAAGAUCAUUAAUAUUAUUGGUCUAACAUAAUAAUAAUAGAUUAUAAAAUAUUUUCUUACAAAAAUUGGGUUCAAUCUUAACUAUAAAUUAAAUUAUAGAAAAAUUUGAUUAACUUAAUCAAUUAGCUACAUACUAAAAGGGAUUUUCAAAAUUCCAGAUUUGGUUUGCUAAAAAAAAACGUCACUUUAUGAGUUAAGUAAGUAAUAUAGAAAUUCUGGAUUUAUACCCAUUAAAUAAAUAAAAAAAUGAAACUUUAAUAGGUUGCAAAAUUCGCAAACCAUGCAUCCAUAUAACAUCAUUAAAAACCAAAAUUAUAUAUAAAAAAACUAAAGUAGCCGCACUAACUGAAACUGAAAGAUAUUUUGAUUAGGAUUUGACUUGAGUUAUCAUAAAGAAUUUUACACAAUCAAAGGCUCGUGGAAGUCGGAAAAAUAAACUGUUUUGAAAGGAACUCAUGCGAUGGAAAAAUUAUGACUGAAAUUUAUAAAAAAAAUUCGAAACUUACCAAAAGGGACGAAGACAAAAAGCAACAGAAACUGAGAGAUGAGAACUUCCGAAAAAAAAUAUUUCUUGCAUGUACGUGUGCGUGUGUUCUCUUUUUUUAGGAUAGAUAUUAGGGUUAAUUGCCGCUAAAUUCAAAAGCUUUUAAAAAAUUCGCGAUAUUCUCACCAACUUCAAAAUCGGCGUAUGAAUACAUGAAUUGAAAAUUUGUUCUUAAUGUUCCCAAAAUUAAAAAAUCCGGCGAGAUGACAUGGCAAAUACCUAUGACAUGUCAAUUUCAUGCCAAAUCAGCUAUACAUGUCAUUGUUUUAAUUUUUUAAUAAUUUUAUUUAUUUAUAAUUAAUUUUAAAAAAAUAAAAAUCACCUACCCUAAUACCCCACCCCCAAACCUACCCCCUUCCCCAACCCCCCGACCACCACCUCUCCAAACCCCCGGCGCCACCUCCCAAACUCGCUCGGCCUGCAAACACCCCCCAAGCCUACCUCUUUCCCUAAUUAAACCUUCGCCUUCUCCAUCUACCCCCAUCCCCAAACACAGCCGUCGACGUCCAAAAUCGAAAGAAGGUAUCUGCGAGAGAGAGAGAGAGAGAGAGAGAGAGAGAGAGAGAGAGGAGUAGAGAGAGAAGCAGUGAUUUGAAGGUGGCGAUUUCAAGAGGAAGGCCGCGAGUUGAAGAGGGGGGCCGCGAUUUGCAGAUGGGGGCCAUGAUUUGAAAGUGGCGAUUUGAAGAGGAAGGCAGCGAUUUGAAGAGGGGGGCUGCGAUUUGGGGUGGCGAGUUGAAGGAAGGGAGGCCGCGUUGCAGAGCGGCGGUGGGUGGCUUUUUGCAGGUGGGCCGCCGACUUUCUCCCACCCCCAAAUCGAAACUCUAGGACCCGCGAUUUGCAGAGCGGCGGUGGGUGGCUUUCUGCUGUUGCACCGCCGGCUUUCUCCAUCCCCAAAUCGAAACCCUAGGACCUAGAAUCAGGCAAGAGAUGAGAGAGAGAUUGUUGCUGUGCGAGAGAUUUCGAUUUGUUGGUGUGCGAGAUGAUUGACGAUUGUUGGUGUGCGAGCUGCAAAAUUUUGCAAAUUUUCCGGCAAGGAAGGUGAGAGAGAGAGAGAUUGAGAGAUUUCUGCAAUUUUUUAUUUUUUUAAUUGUUGUUGGAAAUCAAAACGACGUCGUAUUAUUUUAAAAGAAACGACGUCGUUUUCUUGCACCGCCGGCUAUGCCACGCUGUAUUUACGGUAGUCCACGUCACCUUCAAUUUGGGGGUUUUUUCUUAUUUUGGGAACAUUAAGAACAAAUUUUCAAUUCAUGUAUUCAUACGCCGAUUUUGAAGUUGGUGAGAAUAUCGCGAAUUUUUUAAAAGCUUUUGAAUUUAGCGGCAAUUAACCCUAGAUAUUAUGCCUCUAUUUAUACUAGUCUUUAAAGAGUUCUAGUUCUAUUAGGAAUCAUUAAUAAUAAUAAUAAUAAUAAUAAUAAUAAUAAUAAUAAUAAUCUAGAUAAAAUUAAUGGUGCAUAUCUAUAUGUAUCAUGUAAUUAUUAAGAAAAAUAAGCUAUAAAAAAAAUACUAGAAAUUCACUCUCUAUAAUAAAUCUAAAUAUUUGGGGUGUUACAGUUGGUGGCAAAGGGGUGGCACGCGACGCUGACAAACGAGGAGCCGAUCGACCUCGUUGGCCUUAAGAGCGGUAGCGAAACUUUUGAUGAAAGGGUUUCUGCAUUUUUGAUUAACAAUACUAAGAACAAUUAAAAAGAACACGAUCACCCAUCUUUUCCCCUAAUUUUAGUCUCCUAAAUAUUUGUGUGCAAAAGAAACGACCCAUUAAUAUUAGGAUGAAAAGAGUAUUAAUCUUAAUACUUAACAAAAUUCUAAAAAUAAAUAAAAACAUGAUACAUGUCACUAAUUGAACCUCUAAACCAAUCAAACCAAGGGGGAAAAUAUAGUGCUUUGACCAAACCGACCAGAUCAAACCAAAGAAGAAAAGAAAAGACUGAACAAACAACCUACAUGCAUAUUUCUUUGAUUGUUCUCCAAAUCUGGAGAAUGAUUAAGAUCACAAUUCAUCACCAAGUACAAAGCAUCAUACUCGUAUGGAGCAGAACUUAAAGUAUCUCUGUCUCUUUCUCUUUAGUAGAUUCGUCGCCGCUGCCAUGGCUUCUCUGCUACCACACCAUUGUGGCUGAUCCACCGUGCUGCCGCCAUAGCCUCUCCACCAACAUGCCAUCGCAGCGUUGAAAACACCUCUUUUUCUCUCUCCCCACCACCAUCUUACGGUACACGAUUAAAUGAAAUCAUGUAUCGUGAGUGCAACAGUAGAUCCGCUAAGAACGGUGGGGCGAGCAACUAGUCCGAUCUAGAAGGGUGUAAAAAUAAGGGUUUAUUUGUUUAUCAUUAUUUUAUUCAAACUGUAGAAUGGUAAAACUUGGAAGCAUAAGAGAGGAGAGAA
rnacentral:lncRNA from 1 species